rnacentral:rRNA from 1 species
UACAGAGGGUGCAAGCGUUAAUCGGAUUUACUGGGCGUAAAGCGUGCGUAGGCGGUUCAGUAUGUCGGUCGUGAAAUCCCCGGGCUUAACCUGGGAACUGCGGCCGAAACUGCUGGGCUUGAGUGUGGUAGAGGAAGGUGGAAUUCCAGGUGUAGCGGUGAAAUGCGUAGAUAUCUGGAGGAACACCGAUGGCGAAGGCAGCCUUCUGGGCCACAACUGACGCUGAGGUACGAAAGCGUGGG